GAUGAACGCUGGCGGCGUGCCUAAUACAUGCAAGUCGAGCGAACGGACGAGAAGCUUGCUUCUCUGAUGUUAGCGGCGGACGGGUGAGUAACACGUGGAUAAUCUACCUAUAAGGCUGGGAUAACUUCGGGAAACCGGAGCUAAUACCGGAUAAUAUUUUGAACCGCAUGGUUCAAAAGUGAAAGACGGUCUUGCUGUCACUUAUAGAUGGAUCCGCGCUGCAUUAGCUAGUUGGUAAGGUAACGGCUUACCAAGGCAACGAUGCAUAGCCGACCUGAGAGGGUGAUCGGCCACACUGGAAGUGAGACACGGUCCAGACUCCUACGGGAGGCAGCAGUAGGGAAUCUUCCGCAAUGGGCGAGAGGCUGACGGAGCAACACGGCGGGAGUGAUGAAGGUCUUCGGAUCGGAAAACUCUGUUAUUAGGGAAGAACAUAUGUGUAAGUAACUGUGCACAACUUGACGGGACCUAAUCAGAAAGCCACGGCUAACUACGUG
rnacentral:rRNA from 1 species